GUGUGGCCGAGGGGUCUAAGGCGCUGGAUUUAGGCUCCAGUCUCUUUGGAGGCGUGAGUUCGAAUCCCGCUGC
rnacentral:tRNA from 1 species